UCCUUUUGUUACAGGCGUGAAUGGAGCGGGUCUGCCAGUCCGUCCAAUACAAAGUGUCUCCGGACAACGUCAGGGCGAACGGAUUUCUUUAGAACGACUGCCAAAAUCUCAGCAUCCAAAGCUGUGUUGCAGGACAAGAAGAUUCAAGCUGGAUAAUGGAGUCUUCAGUAUUUCUUGCUCUUAGCUUCAGUGCAGAGCAAUAGAUUCCACUCUUCUGUGAUGGCAACAAUUGUCUAACUCACUUUUUAGAAAAACGCGUUACUUUAUCACAGGAAUACAGCGUCACUUGCUUCUCAGGAAAAGAACAAAAAACAAACAAGRAAAAACAACCCACAGUGAACUGCAUCAACAGAAAGACUUGAGCACUGUGAGGCUGCUGUCAAUGGAACCCAAGCACCUACUUUGACCUCUCCUGAACACCAAAAUAAUCCCAGUAGCUGGGCAGGCCCUAUUCAAGGCAGCAUCAUUCUGUUUUUCUCAUCCAAUCAGACCAAGAGCAUUUUAUUAACCAUCUAUAAAUGAGCUGCUGUGUAGCACUCAGUACGACUACCACUACUACUCAGCAGACUAUUCCUUUAAACUACGUGAAGAAAAGAGCUCUGGUGCAGAAGGCAGAAGUUGGCUUCUUCGGCAGGAUGUUUCACUGCAGAUGAUGCCUAACCUACUCAUCAACCAUGGCAGAGAAUUGAAAGUACCAACUGAAACAUCCGAAACAAGCCCCUUCAGACAGGGGCACACUCUGCCUCUCCCCGGUGGGGACACCUAGACCA